rnacentral:rRNA from 1 species
AGAGGGUGCAAGCGUUAAUCGGAUUGACUGGGCGUAAAGGGCGCGUAGGUGGAUAUUUAAGUUAACUGUAAAAGCCCCGGGCUUAACCUGGGAAUGACGGUUGAUACUGGAUGUCUAGAGUCUAAGAGAGGGAAGUGGAAUUUCCGGUGUAGCGGUGAAAUGCGUAGAGAUCGGAAAGAACACCAGUGGCGAAGGCGGCUUCCUGGCUUAAGACUGACACUGAGGUGCGAAGGCGUGGGGAGCAAACAGGAUUAGAUACCCUGGUAGUCCACGCAGUAAACGCUGAGUACUAGAUGCUGGUUGCUCUUCGGAGUGAUUAGUAUCGUAGCUAACGCAUUAAGUACUCCGCCUGGGAUUACGGUCGCAAGAUUA